rnacentral:rRNA from 1 species
AGAGUUUGAUCCUGGCUCAGAGUGAACGCUGGCGGCGUGCCUAACACAUGCAAGUCGAACGAUGAUAGGAAGCUUGCUUCCUUGAUUAGUGGCGCACGGGUGAGUAUACCAUAGAUAAUGUACCCCUUAGUUCGGGAUAGCCACUGGAAACGGUGAUUAAUACCGGAUACUCCUUCUCAUUAUAAGAUGAGUCGGGAAAGUUUUUUCGCUAAGGGAUCAGUCUAUGUCCUAUCAGCUAGUUGGUGAGGUAAUGGCUCACCAAGGCUAUGACGGGUAUCUGGUUUGAGAGGAUGAUCAGACACACUGGAACUGAGACACGGUCCAGACUCCUACGGGAGGCAGCAGUGAGGAAUAUUGCACAAUGGAGGAAACUCUGAUGCAGCAACGCCGCGUGGAGGAUGACGCAUUUCGGUGUGUAAACUCCUUUUAAGAGGGAAGAUUAUGACGGUACCUCUUGAAUAAGCACCGGCUAACUCCGUGCCAGCAGCCGCGGU